ACUGAGGGUAUGGCCAGAAUUGCUGGUUCCCUAGUUAGCCCACACGGCUGGAUGUUGAGACUGCUUCAUUUGAAAAGUCUCUUAGUCAACAUUUUGUUCAUUGCAACAAAAGUCUGGGUCUUGAGGGAAAUAUGUACAGUGAGGUAGGACAACUUGAGCAGGGCAAAGGGGAGCAGACAGUGGGCAGCUGGGUGUGGGGGUAGCUGUAGGUGCUCUCAUGAUGAACUGUGCCAAUGCCAGCCUGGCUUCUGGAUCCAUCUGCUGCUGUAAGGUUCACCAUAAAAUGACAUAGAGCAAAAUGUCCUUAGGAGCAUGCACUGGAGAAAAGAAACCCGAGUUAUGUGUACCAUGGCUAUUCAAAAAGAUGAAGUGACUGGAAAUUGAUUUCCAACUGGGCCUAAAAUUCUUUGAUCUUAGAAUUUAUGGCCCAUAGCUAUAAAUACCAUCUAAACACUGAAGAUGCUCUUAUUUAUGUAUCUAGUUCCUCCUUUGAACUGUAGAGCCCUAAAGCCUCACAUACCCAAGUGCGAGCCCCAGUCCUUUUUUGUUUUCAUAGUCUGGCCAAGUCAUGAGACUGCACAAUCUGGGCUUGAACUUGCGAUCCUCCAGCCUCAGCCUGCCAGAGUGCUGAAAUUAGAGAUGCUGGCAUCUUCUUUCAGGUACUUUGUGGGUGCUGAUGAGCCUGAAGAUGGGGUCAGCUGUGCUGAACACACUCCUAUCAAGGAUCAUGGACUCUGGCUUCACGUGCAGGUUACUCGCUCUUUACAGAAAGGUGAAGACGUUGGAACUGCCCCAUCACUUCUCAGGAGUUAAAGCUUUGAAUCUGCCUCAGUAAACAAACAAA
rnacentral:lncRNA from 1 species